rnacentral:rRNA from 1 species
CAGCCGCCACGGUAAUACGAAGGGGGCUAGCGUUGCUCGGAAUGACUGGGCGUAAAGGGCGCGUAGGCGGCGGCCAAAGUCAGGCGUGAAAUUCCCGGGCUCAACCUGGGGGCUGCGUUUGAUACUUGGUUGCUUGAGUGGGGAAGAGGGUCGUGGAAUUCCCAGUGUAGAGGUGAAAUUCGUAGAUAUUGGGAAGAACACCGGUGGCGAAGGCGGCGACCUGGUCCUUUACUGACGCUGAGGCGCGAAAGCGUGGGGAGCAAACAGGAUUAGAUACCCGCGUAGUCCCUGUCUCUUAUAC